rnacentral:lncRNA from 1 species
AUGCCUAGAAUCAUCCUCCGAAUUGUGAAACCUCAUUCCAAUAAGAAUCCAAGGAGCCAUCAUUUGGAGACUUAUUUGCUUGUCAUAUUGGAGGAGACUCAACGCAUCUUUUCUUCCUUUCAAGUCGAUCUCUUCUCUUGCAGAGCUCACAGUGGUGAACAAGACACUCUCCGAUUAAAGACUGAACACAGCCUAGUACAGAUAAAUUGUCUUCCAAAUAUGGAGCUGUUUGAUCUGCUGUCAGUUUCUGGGUACCCUGGAUUGCAAAUCUGCCUGGCAAUACACAAUACACACUGUGUGCACUGCUGCCCCCAUGAAUUUGCUAAUAUUCACAGCAUCUUCCAAACUGCAGAGACUGAAGGUAUGUGUUCCGUUUUGACCCCACUUCUUAAAGCAAUUACUCCCGACGUGAAGGUGAAACCAGGGUCAGAGGAAUUUUCCUUCAUGUGUUUCUGUCACAGGAGCAAGCCAAGAAUCUGAUAUGUAGACUGCUUGAAUAAUUCUAAAGUUUCUAUGGUUCUGAACUAGGGCUGUUAUGAAUUUCAGCCCAAAGGUUAUAGUAACAACCAACUUAACAGACAUGUGGUUGCUUCAUCAUCCAUAAUGCUUUCAAAACUUACACAAAUCCUUCUCUAUUCCUAAAGAUGAACACCAUAAUUACAGCAUGUCGUUUGACCUUACUCAGAUUCCAAAAACACAUGGACCCUUUAAAUGGAACCAGAAAGCAAUGCUAGUAAGAGCUCUACCAGGCUCCAUUUUUCAAAUAGAAAAUGAUGGGCUUCUCACGUCCAUCACGUAUCGUUCCUUCACCCAUUUUAUUUACACGCACUUUGUCCAAGUGUUUCACACAUGGUUUCCUGAAGGCAUUUAUGCUUAUCCUACCAGGAGAUAUAUUAGCACACUUUGUACUGCGUGGUGGCUAUAAGACAUAGGAUACUACAGUUACAAGGGAACCGAGGUAACUGCCCAAUACUAGCAGCUGAUGCACUUGCAUGGACAUGCAUGCACAAUUAUUGCACAUAAUUAGGAUAUUAAGCCUUGAGUGUUCAGGCUAUCAUUUGGAGGACAAGUCUUAAAUCUCCAGUGUGUGGAUGAAGAAAUUUAUUGUAUAUCCUUAUUUCCAAUGUUUUAUCACUUAACCCUUUCUACAGAUGUAUCAGGCUUCAGAUAUUGUCUAUUAAACUUGACUUUUGCUUAAGAGUUGUUCAAUAACCUAGUGUUUAAGUUGACUUGCCUUUGUUAAUUCAAGAUUUGUGUCUAAAUGAGAAGUCACAGGAACAGGAAGAUAGAAGUAAUUAUAAUCAAAGUAUUAGCUGUGGGUCUCAGGUCUUUCCUCCUUUUUAUUAGAGUUGGGGGCACAGUUAAGGAUUAAAAGUCAAAAGGUUAAAGUAGUAACGUGAUUUAACUUUCCUUCUUUCCCACCACAGAGCAUGUCUAGAAUUGCCAGGUAUGAGUGCCCAUAUUUCAGGAAAUAUUCCGA